GACGGAGGGUGCUAGCGUUGUUCGGAAUCACUGGGCGUAAAGGGCGCGUAGGCGGCCUUGCAAGUCGGUUGGUGAAAGCCCGGGGCUCAACCCCGGAGGUGCGGCCUGAGACUGCAGGCUGGAGGCGAAGAGCGAGUGAUCUGGUGUAGCGGUGAAAUGCGCAGAUAUCAGGAGGAACACCGGUGGCGAAGGCGGGUCUCUGGGCCGAUACUGACACUGAGGAGCGAAAGCGUGGGGAGCGAACAGG
rnacentral:rRNA from 1 species